rnacentral:rRNA from 1 species
GAUGAACGCUGGCGGCGUGCUUAACACAUGCAAGUCGAACGAUGAAGCCCAGCUUGCUGGGUGGAUUAGUGGCGAACGGGUGAGUAACACGUGAGUAACCUGCCCUUAACUCUGGGAUAAGCCUGGGAAACAGGGUCUAAUACCGGAUAGGAGCGUCCACCGCAUGGAGGGUGUUGGAAAGAUUUAUCGGUUUUGGAUGGACUCGCGGCCUAUCAGCUUGUUGGUGAGGGAAUGGCUCACCAAGGCGACGACGGGUAGCCGGCCUGGGAACGUGACCGGCCACACUGGGCCUGAGACAGGGACCAGACUGCAACGGGAGGCAGCGGUGGGAAAUAUUGCACAAUGGGCGCAAGCCUGAUGCAGCGACGCCGCGUGAGUGAUGACGGCUUUCGGGUUGUAAACCUCUUUCAGUAGGGAAGAAGCGAAAGUGACGGUACCUGAAGAAGAAGCACCGGCUAACUACGUG